rnacentral:rRNA from 1 species
AUUGAACGCUGGCGGCAUGCCUUACACAUGCAAGUCGAACGGCAGCGGACCUUCGGGUGCCGGCGAGUGGCGAACGGGUGAGUAAUAUAUCGGAACGUACCUUUCAGUGGGGGAUAACGUAGCGAAAGUUACGCUAAUACCGCAUAUUCUGUGAGCAGGAAAGCAGGGGAUCGCAAGACCUUGCGCUGAUUGAGCGGCCGAUAUCAGAUUAGCUAGUUGGUGAGGUAAAGGCUCACCAAGGCGACGAUUUGUAGCGGGUCUGAGAGGAUGAUCCGCCACACUGGAACUGAGACACGGUCCAGACUCCUACGGGAGGCAGCAGUGGGGAAUUUUGGACAAUGGGCGCAAGCCUGAUCCAGCCAUGCCGCGUGAGUGAAGAAGGCCUU